rnacentral:rRNA from 1 species
UAGGGAAUCUUAGACAAUGGGGGAAACCCUGAUCUAGCCAUGCCGCGUGUGUGAUGGCGGCCCUAGGGUUGUAAAGCACUUUCGCCAGGGAAGAUAAUGACGGUACCUGGUAAAGAAACCCCGGCUAACUCCGUGCCAGCAGCCGCGGUAAUACGGAGGGGGUUAGCGUUGUUCGGUAUUACUGGGCGUAAGGCGCGCGUAGCCGGACCAUUAAGUCAGGGGUGAAAUCCCGGGGCUCAUCCCCGGAACUGCCCUUGAUACUGGCGGUCUUGAGUUCGAGAGAGGUGAGUGGAAUUCCGAGUGUAGAGGUGAAAUUCGUAGAUAUUCGGAGGAACACCAGUGGCGAAGGCGGCUCACUGGCUCGAUACUGACGCUGAGGUGCGAAAGUGUGGGGAGCAAACAGGAUUAGAUACCCCCGUAGUCC